rnacentral:rRNA from 1 species
CCAAUAGCGUAUAUUAAAGUUGUUGCAGUUAAAAAGCUCGUAGUUGAACUUCAGACCUGGCCGGGCGGUCCUCCUCACGGUGCGUACUGUCUGGCUGGGCCUUACCUCUUGGUGAGCCGGCAUGCCCUUUACUGGGUGUGUCGGGGAACUAGGACUUUUACCUUGAGAAAAUUAGAGUGUUCAAAGCAGGCCUAUGCCUGAAUACGUUAG